rnacentral:rRNA from 1 species
UCUUAUGCACUGUGCGCCCUGGCCUAACAGUCGCCAGUCGAACGGUGAGCACACAGAGCUUGCUCUCGGGUGACGAGUGGCGGACGGGUGAGUAAUGUCUGGGAAACUGCCUGAUGGAGGGGGAUAACUACUGGAAACGGUAGCUAAUACCGCAUAACGUCGGAAGACCAAAGAGGGGGACCUUCGGGCCUCUUGCCAUCAGAUGUGCCCAGAUGGGAUUAGCUAGUAGGUGGGGUAACGGCUCACCUAGGCGACGAUCCCUAGCUGGUCUGAGAGGAUGACCAGCCACACUGGAACUGAGACACGGUCCAGACUCCUACGGGAGGCAGCAGUGGGGAAUAUUGCACAAUGGGCGCAAGCCUGAUGCAGCCAUGCCGCGUGUAUGAAGAAGGCCUUCGGGUUGUAAAGUACUUUCAGCGGGGAGGAAGGCGAUAAGGUUAAUAACCUUGUCG